rnacentral:rRNA from 1 species
AUUGAACGCUGGCGGCAUGCUUUACACAUGCAAGUCGAACGGCAGCGCGGGGCAACCUGGCGGCGAGUGGCGAACGGGUGAGUAAUAUAUCGGAACGUACCCAGAAGUGGGGGAUAACGUAGCGAAAGUUACGCUAAUACCGCAUACGAUCUACGGAUACAAGUAGGGGACCGCAAGGCCUUAUGCUUUUGGAGCGGCCGAUAUCUGAUUAGCUAGUUGGUGAGGUAAAGGCUCACCAAGGCGACGAUCAGUAGCUGGUCUGAGAGGACGACCAGCCACACUGGAACUGAGACACGGUCCAGACUCCUACGGGAGGCAGCAGUGGGGAAUUUUGGACAAUGGGCGCAAGCCUGAUCCAGCAAUGCCGCGUGAGUGAAGAAGGCCUUCGGGUUGUAAAGCUCUUUUGUCAGGGAAGAAACGGUAGAGGCUAAUAUCCUUUGCUAAUGACGGUACCUGAAGAAUAAGCACCGGCUAACUACGUG